rnacentral:rRNA from 1 species
GUGGGGAAUUUUGGACAAUGGGCGCAAGCCUGAUCCAGCCAUGCCGCGUGCAGGAUGAAGGCCUUCGGGUUGUAAACUGCUUUUGUACGGAACGAAAAAGCUCUCUCUAAUACAGGGGGUGAAUGACGGUACCGUAAGAAUAAGCACCGGCUAACUACGUGCCAGCAGCCGCGGUAAUACGUAGGGUGCGAGCGUUAAUCGGAAUUACUGGGCGUAAAGCGUGCGCAGGCGGUGAUGUAAGACAGUUGUGAAAUCCCCGGGCUCAACCUGGGAACUGCAUCUGUGACUGCAUUGCUGGAGUGCGGCAGAGGGGGAUGGAAUUCCGCGUGUAGCAGUGAAAUGCGUAGAUAUGCGGAGGAACACCGAUGGCGAAGGCAAUCCCCUGGGCCUGCACUGACGCUCAUGCACGAAAGCGUGGGGAGCAAACAGGAUUAGAUACCCCAGUAGUCC